UUAGUCUUAUGCACAAAAUGUUAUCUACUGAAUAAGCAGGUUUUUAAUAGUUGUCUUAUAUAUGUUAGCAAAAAUAAACACUUUGUCUUUUAGAUCUAUUUCAGUUUUUCAGUAGCUGUAGACUUAAGUGCUAACUUUUAGCCCAUAGGAUAAGAAGAAACCAAGUCCUAAAAGUAGGCCAGCACCAGGAUUCAGGCCUCUGACUUCAAGCCAAGGGCUCAUCAUCUUGAAUUGCGCACGAAUUUUUACACAGCGCCAAAGGAAACUGCCUGUACUUACUGUUGUAGGUGCUUUGCUGGAUUCAGGAUGCAGACAAGGUCCACGCACUGUGGUUGGUUCAGUCCCGGAGCAGACACAGUCCUGUUUGCAGGGAGCCAACAUUCUAAUUGACAGUGCCUGGUGGGAAACAGUGAACCGAGGGAAAGAGUGCCAAUGUCAGAG